rnacentral:rRNA from 1 species
GAUGAACGCUGGCGGCGUGCCUAAUACAUGCAAGUCGAGCGAACGGACGAGAAGCUUGCUUCUCUGAUGUUAGCGGCGGACGGGUGAGUAACACGUGAGUAACCUGCCCCCUUCUUCUGGAUAACCGCAUGAAAGUGUGGCUAAUACGGGAUAUUCUGGGUCUGUCGCAUGAUGGGUCUGGGAAAGAUAUUGUUUCGGUGGGGGAUGGGCUCGCGGCCUAUCAGCUUGUUGGUGGGGUGAUGGCCUACCAAGGCGGUGACGGGUAGCCGGCCUGAGAGGGUGGACGGUCACACUGGGACUGAGACACGGCCCAGACUCCUACGGGAGGCAGCAGUGGGGAAUAUUGCACAAUGGGCGCAAGCCUGAUGCAGCGACGCCGCGUGAGGGAUGGAGGCCUUCGGGUUGUGAACCUCUUUCGCCAGUGAAGCAGGCCUGCCUCGUUUGUGGGUGGGUUGACGGUAGCUGGAUAAGAAGCGCCGGCUAACUACGUG